ensembl:lncRNA
UUUCGAGGCAGAAGCACCAGUGACCUGGGCAGAGACCACCGGACGGCCUUCACCAAGCCCUGCCUUUAAACAGGCGACUGCACGGCAGCCCACCCGUCUUCUUGCCUGGAGAAUCCCAAGGACAGAGACCGAUGCUUCGAGAACCUUCCCCAGAUCAGCCGCCUCUGGAAGCCGCCAGGAGCAUUCUGCCUCGCGCUGACUGAAAGCCAGAGUCCCUGCAGCGCCUGACCCCUGGCUCCCCAAACUUCCUGCUUCCGCCUCCAAGAGCUCAGAACCAGCUGGGCCUCGGG